AAAAGUAGAGGGUGCUCCAGCGCACGAAGGGGACAAUCUGCAGGAGACGCUGCAGCAAUGAGUCCCACCUGUCACCCCAGUAGUCCCAUUUCCCAGUGGGACACAGCUUGGGAGGGGGAGUAAAUAAGCCACAGAAGGGAAAAGGGUAAAGUUGCUAGCAUUGCAGGAGAGACAGGAAGAAGAAAAACAGACGAAACAAAGCAUGCUGAUGAUUUAAUUUGUGUCAGUUCUUUGGAAAAAGGAAUGGCCGUACAGCACCAAGCACAAUGUACGAUGGGCAGGAACCAUCUCUCUCUCUGUCUCUAUGACAUCAGCACUUAACAAAGAUAUAUUCAUUAUUCAUUGGCUGGCCAGCAAUACAAUUGGUUGCAUGGCAAUAGUUCAAAGCAGCAGACUGCCCUAAAUACGUGUGUGUGCGUGUAUAUAGAUAUAUAUCCCCAGUAGAAAAUUCAAACAGCCAAACCAAAAGGGUUCUCCUGAGUCUAAGUGAACUGAAUGGUCUGUUGGUCCUAAAGGGGAUUUAAUGGCAUCAAGACAGUCCCUUGGCAUAGGUCUGACCCCUGCUGCAACAACCAAUGAGAGAUCCGGCUCUGGCUGAUACCUACAAGAAAGAAAGAGAGAGAGAACUUAAAUUUUGAAUGGAUUCAGUGCUAGUGAAAGAGUGAAGUGGAAUGCAAGCUCAGUGUCAACCUUCCAUCCGUAACAGCGAAGGAGAAAUUAAUGAGGAGAAAACCCCAAACUAACCAGUUUCACAAGUAAAGAAUCUGGUCUCAAAACCCACUAGGAUGAGAAUCGCUCAAGAUCACCACAAGCUGUUCCAAGAACUUAUUUAAUUCAGUGUUGAAAUGCCUGAAGCAGAGGACUAACAGAGGGAGCAAAAGAACUGUCAAGGCCCAGGGUGCAUUCUCAAAAAAGCUGUUCAGCCAUUAAAAAGGAUUAACAACAUACAAACUCUAUUGGGAAUUCAAAACAGCAAGGAGUCCUGUGGCACCUUAGAGACUAACAAAAAUAUAGAGAGUAUCAUGCGCUUUCAUGGGCACAACACACUUCCUCAGAUGAGUUGGAGUGGAAAAAAAGAGAAUUCCAGUUCGAGGAGGUCUCACAAUAACAAUAUAUUGCUAAAUACCACCUGUGCCAACAUCUGUUUUAGUCAUAACGCACAACAUGAAGUUUGCUUUUCUCCUACCUCUCCCAUCUUGAGAUUUCAUGAUCACAUUUAACUCACUGGGAAUAGCCCCCUGGAGUUUUACACUUUUUCUAAGAAGGGAGUUUUCCCUAACAUGUAUUUUUGAUAAACUUAAAAAACAACACUUUAGAGACUAACAAAACAUGUAGAUGGUAUCAUGAGCUUUCGUGGGCACAGCCCACUUCUUCAGAUGUAUCGGCUCCCCCAUGAAGUUCAUGUAUUUUUGAGUUAAACAAAGAUGCUAAUAACAUUUCCGAAUAAUUCAAAUAUCUCAGGGGAGCCAAACUGGUCAACUCCAAAAAUCAUAGUUACAUUCCUAACUAGCCUGCAUGAUAUGUACUUGUGAAGCUACUAAAGUUUCACUUGCCCUGCAGGAAAAAAGUGUUGGGUUUUGUUUUUUUUAAACAGGAGCUCAUCUGUGUUCAGGAGAAAUCCUCCUGCAAGGAGGUGGAAGAGAAUUUGAAGGUGCCAUGAGCGUAUCCAGAUAGGCUUGCUGCAGGCAAGAUGGUGUGCUCUCAUUGUAUACCCGUUUUGUAUUCCCAACCAACCUCUUCCAGGGACUGCCUCCACCCCAGAGAUCAAAAUUGGUGCAAACAGCUGAGGCAAUCCCACUUAGCCAUCUCCAGCGUUGAAAUCAUGUCAACUAGAAGCAUGUGCUCAGUAAAGGAACCUGGUUCUGCAACCCAUGUCCCCCGGUGCUCCAUCACUGAGUGUACCAGGCUACUUUUUGAGCACAGUGGAUUCGGCCUUAAGUGCUUAGCCCCUGAGAUGUAGUUUCUCAGCAGAUGAGUUUUGUCUGUUAAUGGGUGAGAGUAGCAUUCGUUUAUUACCUGGCUUCUAGGCACUGUGGCCUGCUUUUAAUUGCAUAAUAAAAAAUAUUGUCUGGCUAGCUCUUUGGUAACAAAGUAGGAUAUAAAAGCAAAGGGCUGGGUUCUACAGUCACUGACCCAGAACAUAUUUUUGUAAUAAUGCAUUGGGAGCAGCCGUGCUUUGCCCGAAAGGCUGCAUUGGCAACUUUUGACACUUGUUUUGUACAAAAUGAUGCAGAUUACAACCACCUCAUACACCAGUGCAUCCUAUGCACUAGCGGUACCCCAGACGAGUGGCUGUAGCACUAGAGUGAGCGCGAAGAUGUCAAGGUUCCAUUUCCAACCCCACUCAUUGGGGGCCUUGGUACACCACUCAGCAGUCAAUCUCCUUCUGUAAAACGGAGCUUUGGGCUGGAUCCUGACAUGCGCUGAGUGAAACGGUGCUCUCCUACACAUUCUAUGCACACAGCUGCAGGUUCCAGCACAAUAUUCCUUAGCUUGACUACAGCGUCCCAGGUCCUGCACUGCAGAAUGUUGUGGGUUGUAUCGCGUCCAUAUCAAUACACUAACUCCAGGGAAUCACUCCGGUGGAGAAUCCGCGCCUUGUCUGUCCACUAGGGAUGUAAAAGGCGAACUGGUUACCCAGUAAACCUUACCCGUAUGCUUACCAAAGGGCCAGGCCGACUGAAGCAACCCCCUCGCCGCCUACGAUGGGGCUGGGUUAGCCAGGCUGAAGUAACCCCCUGCCCGCCCAUGGCACAGGAUCAACACUCCACCUGCCUGCCCAUGGCUGGAGCAGCCUCCUGCCUGCAGUGGGCUGGCAGGCAGGACCCUGACUGCAGGGCCCCUGCCUACAGCAACCCCCACUGCAGGACCCCAGCUGCUGUGCACCAGCCCUCAGUUAACCGGUUAAAUAACCACAAGUCUCUGUGGUUUCCCCAACACCCACAUCCAUUCCAUCUGCAGCCCAUACAAAAUGCAGCUGCUAAUAUCGUCCUCCUUGCUCAAUGGUUUGAUCAGUUUUGGAGUUCUCCACUGGUUGCCCUUUUUCUACCACAUUGCUGUCAAACAGCUUGUGAUCACUUUCCUCCCUGAUGCUUCACCUGAUUCUGUCCAAUUAGAUUGGAUGCUAUCUGGGGUAAGUAUUGUAAUUUCCACUCUUAGAAAAAUGCUAGCAAAUUUUGGAUGCUAAUGACAAUUAAAUAAUAUUCUGUAUUUCUGAAAUGCUAAUUAAGGUUACUGGAAAUUAUUUCCUCUGUGAAAUACACAAAUUUGACUUGUCAAUUUUUAUUGUUUGACUCAAUGCUGUGCAUACUCACAAAGCAAGAGAUGGUUCCUGUCUCAAAGGAGCCUAUUUGUAGCCUAACUAGACAAGUAUUCUUAUACUCAUUUUACAAUUGGGACACUGAGGCAGGGAACGUGUGACUUGCCCAACAUAACACACAAAGUCAGUGACAGAGCAAGGAACAGAAUCUAGAUCUUUUUAGUCCCAAUGUAGGUCCUUAUCCACCACUUAUCCUCCUGUUAUUUAUUUCUGAUGACGUCCUAAUAGCAAAAAAGCUAAACAAAUAAUUUAAAAGAUAGAAUCAUAGAAUCAUAGAAUAAUAGGA